rnacentral:rRNA from 1 species
GAUGAACGCUGGCGGCGUGCCUAAUACAUGCAAGUAGAACGCUGAAGGAGGAGCUUGCUCUUCUGGAUGAGUUGCGAACGGGUGAGUAACGCGUAGGUAACCUGCCUGGUAGCGGGGGAUAACUAUUGGAAACGAUAGCUAAUACCGCAUGACAACAGUUAUUGCAUGAUAACUGUUUAAAAGGGGCAACUGCUCCACUACCAGAUGGACCUGCGUUGUAUUAGCUAGUUGGUGAGGUAACGGCUCACCAAGGCGACGAUACAUAGCCGACCUGAGAGGGGGAUCGGCCCCACUGGGACUGGGACACGGCCCAGACCCCUAAGGGAGGCAGCAGUAGGGAAUCUUCGGCAAUGGACGGAAGUCUGACCGAGCAACGCCGCGUGAGUGAAGAAGGUUUUCGGAUCGUAAAGCUCUGUUGUAAGAGAAGAACGAGUGUGAGAGUGGAAAGUUCACACUGUGACGGUAUCUUACCAGAAAGGGACGGCUAACUACGUG